UAUAUAUAUAUAUAUAUAUAAUUUCUAUCUUCAUUACAUGUUAAGGAUUUUGUGUUACUAAAAUGUAUAUCUUGCAUAAUCUGUGAGACUGAUGUGCUCCUCUGUAUGUGUGUGUGUGUGUGUGUGUGUACACACAGCAGGUGGCUGAGGCAGCACACACCCACACUCAGGCCUGGGUGGAGGUGGCACCGGUGUCAGGGCCACAGUUGGGUACACAGCCACACACACCCCGAGAGACUUCUGCUAGUUCUUCUUUUCUCAUAUCUUAUAGAUUUUAUGGUUUGCACUUAUACUGUUGUGAUAAAAACAUUAGGAAUACCAGAGGAGUCUGUAAAAAACUACUUUGGCUGUUUAAUGUUGGCUUGAAAAUUAUUAUGUAGCAAGUUUUGUUGAGUACUUUUGGCGUAGAACAGGAGGUUUGGCCUGUUGGUGCAUCUGCCGGGAAGGAACAGAUGUGUUGAGGUACUGAUCGGUGUCAGUAGUCAUGGCAGUGACGGGGCGGUGGGUGCAGCGAUGGGAUGCACCGCUGGUCCUGGGCGUGCUGAGAACCUUUCAGCAUUGGUACCGAUGAUUUGAGCUCUUGGAAGUGAUCAUUGUGUGGUGACUCCAAGAGAAUAUUCCUUUAUGCCUCUGUGAGGUGUACCUUUAUAAGAUAUUAUUGUUGUACGGAUAGCUGUGUACUAAUCUUCUGUCUGUCUGAGAGCUGUUUGUGUAAUGGUACUAAGGACUGCCAGUGCUUUCUUCACAGAUAGAUAUUGAUUAUAUUAGUCACUAAUAUUUUGUGUACUGUACUAAAAGUUUACUGUUCUGAUGUCACACUGAUCAGUGAUAUUCUUUAGCACUAAGUCAUGUCUGUCAGGACUAUAAAUCAUUUUAGAGAUUCAAAUCUUUCAUCUAAUGCAGUUCAUUAAUUGUUGUAGCAACGUUUGAUGAUUCGUCAAGGUUUCCAUAGCUUUGUAGUGUGUUUUGAGUGCAGUGUUCCCUGACGCUAGGCUGAGGACACACCCACCAGGCAGCCUCACCUAGAACAAGUCCCUCAGUGUAGUUAGCAGAAGCCUUGAUGCUGGGAACUUCACCUUAGGACUUGUCGCAUCACUAUUGCUUAUCAUGAGACUUGCACAGCAGGAGUCAGAAGCCUCAGAGCACCGCCAAGGACUGCUAACACCUUGCCUGUACAUCCUGCAAGUUACUGAGGCCUUGCAGAUGUCUUUAGGAUUCAGGGCAGUGUAGGAGAAGCAUUGCCAAUCCUCAUGUGAAUCUCUUAGCGUAGUGGUGGUGUUCUGGGCGUGGGCAGUCACUCACCACUCACCUCAGCCGCCGCCAAGUAUGAGGCCGCCGUGUUAGAAGUGUGUGCUCGCUGCCUGUCGUGUGACCUGCUUGUCAUGACUAGUAACCACCCUCUCGAAACGUAAAGUUCAAAAUGUUACAAUAACGCUGUUUUGUACAAAUUAAAUUUAAUCUUAGUCAAAUUUAAGAUACUUUUGGAAUAUACUGUGGAAACUAGAGGCCAGUUGGGAUGGAAGGGAGGAGGUGGAGGAUGAGGGGGGAGGUGGAGAAAUAACUUGCAACCAUGCAGUUCCAAACACCUCCGUAGACCACUUUAAAGAAGUGUACCUUGAACUUCCCUUUGUACAAAAUUGUGAAAGUAGUGAACACUUUUCCAUCAGAAUUUGGUGAGGGAGAGGGAGAAAGAACGUACUAUUGUAAUUGCUUAAAAAAUCAGCUUUCGUCUAAUCUAUUCCUGUGAUAGGACUUUGUAUGGUGGGUUGAACCAGUCACUUUUUAGGAGAAGGGGGAAGAUGAAAAGUGAAGGGGAGGUGAGAGUAAGGAUAUGCGAGAUACACAAAUACAUUAUACAAGUUAGCGAGGAGGAGGAAGUUGAAGGUUCAGUAUUGGUGGUUGAGUGUACAGUCAUGAUGGCCUGUCUGCCCCAUCAUUCACCGUCUCGUUUAUCCUCGGCGUGUUAGGCAGACGCUACCCUUUACGUUGCUGCACUCUGUUGAUGGUCACGGCCGGGUGUGGCAAGGGUUGGCUCAUGAGACAGUGGGCCGUAUUACAAGUCGAAUCCGAGAAGUUUUGGGUUCAAGUUAUUCAUCCCAAAUUCUGUAGGGACCCAAAACUUCUGGAUUCUACUUGUAAAACGGCCCCUAAACCAAACUCUGUAGGGACCCAGAACUUCUCGGAUUCAACUUGUAAAACAGCCCCUGAACCGAACUCUGUAGGGACCCAGAACUUCUCGGAUUCAACUUGUAAAACAGCUCCAAAACCAAACUCUAUAGGGACCCAGAACUUCUUGGAUUCAACUUGUAAAACAGCCCCUAAACCAAACUCUGUAGGGACCCAGAACUUCUUGGAUUCAACUUGUAAAACAGCCCCUAAACCGAACUCUGUAGGUACCCGAAACUUCUUUGAUUUGAUUUAUAAUACGGCCCCUGAACUGAACGCUGUAGUGACCCGAAACUUCUCUCAUUGGACUUGUAAAACAGCCCCUAAACUGAAAUCUGUAGGGACAUGAAACUUCUUGGAUUUGACUUGUAAAGGGGCUAUUAAUUACACUGGGCAAAUUUUCCGUGGAUCUUCAGUCAAACCACGAUCUCCGCUGGCGUGGUUCUCAUAUUUCCGUGGUUUUCUGACGUGUCCACGAUCUUCCAAAGCUACGGUAGAUUUCACCAAAGGACGACGGUAUUACUCACCAUCAUCAGCAGCAGCAAUAACAAGAAAUAAAUGAGAACCACGCUAGCGGAAAUCGUGGUUUGACUGAAGAUCCACGGAAAAUUUGCCCAGUGUAAUAGUCCCUUAAUUGAUACGGCCCAGUGUUGUUACUUUCAUUAUUGUGGAUUAGUUACUUCACUUGCAUUGCGUCAUUAGAGUCCGAUUGGCAGGUGGCCGCCCUUUUCCUUUGUCCCGGCUUUCUAUAUACGGAUACCUGAUGUAUAUAACAGAAUUUAUUUUUUUGAAAGAGAAAUUCCUUAUCAGUACGACUGGUAAUCAUCAUUAUAUUAUUAUUAUUAUUAUUAUUAUUUUAUUUUUUUGCUGUGCUUUCUGUGUAAUUCUUGAAAACAGUGAUGCAUGAUUCUUCCUGGACUUAGGCAAACAUUGAUUUCAUAUUCACAAUAAUUAUAUAGAGAAG